rnacentral:rRNA from 1 species
UGGGGGAUAUUGCACAAUGGGCGAAAGCCUGAUGCAGCGACGCCGCGUGGGGGAUGAAGGCUUUCGGGUUGUAAACCUCUUUCGCUAUCGAACAAGGCCCGCUUAGGGUGGGUUGAGGGUAGGUGGAGAAGAAGCGCCGGCUAACUACGUGCCAGCAGCCGCGGUAAUACGUAGGGCGCGAGCGUCGUCCGGAAUUAUUGGGCGUAAAGGGCUUGUAGGCGGCUUGUUGCGCCUGCUGUGAAAACGCGGGGCUUAACUUCGGGCGUGCAGUGGGUACGGGCAGGCUUGAGUGUGGUAGGGGUGACUGGAAUUCCAGGUGUAGCGGUGGAAUGCGCAGAUAUCUGGAGGAACACCGAUGGCGAAGGCAGGUCACUGGGCCAUUACUGACGCUGAGGAGCGAAAGCAUGGGUAGCGAACAGG